AAGCCAUGAUGAGGACAAGCAUUGAUGGCCUCCAUAUACCUUUCCCAACAUUCAUAGAACUUCUCAUUUUCUUUUGCAAAAAAGUUUGAGAUUUGUCUCUUCAAUCC
rnacentral:snoRNA from 1 species